GGCGAACGCUGGCGGCGUGCUUAACACAUGCAAGUCGAGCGGUAAGGCCCUUUCGGGGGUACACGAGCGGCGAACGGGUGAGUAACACGUGGGUGACCUGCCCUCAGCUCUGGGAUAAGCCUGGGAAACCGGGUCUAAUACCGGAUAUGACUCCAUGACGCAUGUUGUGGGGUGGAAAGCCUUGUGCGGCUGAGGAUGGGCCCGCGGCCUAUCAGCUUGUUGGUGGGGUGAUGGCCUACCAAGGCGACGACGGGUAGCCGGCCUGAGAGGGCGACCGGCCACACUGGGACUGAGACACGGCCCAGACUCCUACGGGAGGCAGCAGUGGGGAAUCUUGCGCAAUGGGCGAAAGCCUGACGCAGCGACGCCGCGUGAGGGAUG
rnacentral:rRNA from 1 species